GAUAACUAACUACCCACAGAUAUUUUAUAUAUAAAUUACAAUUAAGAUUGGUUAAUGUAGGCCACUUCUUUUUCAAAGUGUAAACAUUAGACUUGUAAUGACAUAAUGUAUAUCAGUAUUUUGACAUUGCUUAUGACUUCUUCCCUUGUUUUUAAGGAAAAAAAGGGGCAAUCAUAUUAAUUAAAUCUGUUUCUCCUAUUAGAAUAUCUCCAUUGUUCUUACUUAAAUUUAGAAAUCUGAUUGACAAACACUAUGGUUUUUUUAAGAAACAACCGUGGACCAGCGCCACGGCUCACUUGGCUAAUCCUCCGCCUGCGGUGCCGGCACCCCUGGUUCUAGUCCCCUUUGGGGCACCGGAUUCUGUCCUGGUUGCUCCUCUUCCAGUCCAGCUCUCUGCUGUGGCCCGGGAAGGCAGUGGAGGAUGGCCUAAGUGCUUGGGCCCCUGCACCUGCAUGGGAAACCAGGAGAAGCACCUGGCUCCUGGCUUCAGAUCAGCACAGUGCUGGCCGUAGCGGCCACUUUGGGGGUGAACCAAUGGAAGGAAGACCUUUCUCUCUCUCUCUCUCUCACUGUCUGACUGCCUGUCGGGGAAAAAAAAAGAAAGAAGUAACCAUGAAAGCAGUAUAAUAAGUACUUUUAACUUCCAUCAUCUCAUUUUGUGAAACUGUAUGCAGCAGUAGAGCAAGUAAUAGCCACAUUUUUUAAAAAACAGAUUUAUUUAUUUAUUUGAAAGGCAGAGUUAUAGAGAGGCAGAGGCAGAGAGAAAGAGAGAACUCCUCCAUCCACUGGUCCACUCCCCAAAUGGCCCCAAUGGCUGAAGCUGGGCCUAUCCAAAGCUAGGAGCCAGGAGCUUCCUCUGGGUCUCCCAUGUGGGUGCAGGGUCUCAAACACUUGAGCCAUCUUCUACUGCCUUCCCAGGUCAAUUGCAGAGAGCUGGAUCAGAAGUGGAGCAGCCGAGACUCGAACUGGCACCCACAUGGAAUGCUGACAUCACAGGCGUUGGCUUUCUCAGCUAAUGCCACAGAGCUGGCCCUGAUAGCCAUGCUUUUAGGAGACUUAAAAUUAAGCAAAAUAAGCCAGACCUAGAAACUACUACUGCAUAUUCUGUCACUUAUACGUGGAAGCUAAAAAAGUCGACUUCAUGGAAGAGGAGAGUAGGAUAGUGGUCACUAGAGGUUAGGGAGGGUAGGGUGGUGGAUGGAGAAAGAAGUUGCAUAGGGAGUACCAGAAUAUAGGUAGUAUAGGGGAAUAAAUUUAUAAUUUACAACAAUUUACUGUACAUUUUAUAAAGAAUGAGGAGUUUGACGGUUCCUAAUACAAAAAAUGAUAAAUGUUUAAGGAGAUGGAAAUGGCCUAAUUUGGCCAUUAUACAUUGUAUGUAUGUUAUAUCAAGUUAUAACACUACCCCGUAACAUGCACAAUUAUUAUAUUUCACUUUAAAAAACUACUGGGGCCUGCAUCGUGCCAUAGCAAGUAAAGCUGCUGCCUGCAGUGCCAGCAUCCUUUAUGGGUGCUGGCCUUGAGUUCUGGCUGUUCUACCUCUCAUCUGGCUCCCUGCUAAUAGGCCUGGGAAAAGGAACAAGAGAUGGCCCAAUAGCUUGGGUCCAUGCUACCCAUGUGCGAGCCCUGGAAGAAGCUCCUGGGUCCUGGCUUUUACUUGGCUCACACCUAGCUGUUGUGGCCAUCCAGGGAGUGGACCAACAGGUGGACCAUCCCCGCCCCCACCCCGUAGUUCUGACUUUCGAAUAAAUAAAUCUUAAAAAACAAAUGUCUAAAAGGAAAAGGCCCAUUUUAUAAAUAAAGAAGCUAAUACUUGAUACUUAAAUAUGAAGCUGCAGAACCAUCAAAUGGUUUUACUUUGGUAAAGAUUCCAGUUUUUCUGAAGAUUAAUCCAGGGCUCUGCAAUAUGCUACAGUGUAGAUAAUAACAUUUUAUUCACUUAUUUCAAAACACUUUUUAGUACCUACUGUUAGGUUUUCUGCUAGGUGCUGUGGGAACAUUUAGAAACUGAAAGGAAAGCUGCACAUUUUGCUCUCAGGGUAUGUACAGGAGACAGAAUUUACACAACAAACAAGCGUGAAUGGGACAGUUACAGAGCCAGAAACAAGGUAAGUGGAGGGAAGGGUAGUGGAGCAUAAGAGGGAAAAAAUAAAGAAAAUGUAGGCCGGUGCCGCGGCUCACUAGGCUAAUCCUCCGCCUGCGACGCCGGCACCCCGGGUUCUAGUCCCGGUCAGGGCGCCGGAUUCUGUCCCGGUUGCCCCUCUUCCAGGCCAGCUCUCUGUGGUGGCCCGGGAGUGCAGUGGAGGAUGGCCCGAGUGCUUGGGCCCUGCACCCGCAUGGGAGACCAGGAGAAGCACCUGGCUCCUGGCUUUGGAUCAGCGUGAUGCGCCAGCCGCAGCGGCCAUUGGGGGUGAACCAACUGAAGGAAGACCUUUCUCUCUGUGUCUCUCUCUUUCUCUGUCCACUCUGCCUGUCAUAAAAAAAAAAAAAUGUAGAAAGGUUGCAGUAGGGAUUACUUUUAAGAGUUUUGAGUAGGUAUUCACAGUGUGUGAUUCCUGGGGAAAAAGUUGUUUUUGCCUUUUUCCUUUCUUACCAUUUUCAGUGGGUGCAUGUGGAAGGGACUACGGAAGUGUGGAGUUGGAUGAGAGAUGCAUAGUAACGAGAGUAGUGAUCUAAGCCUUCAGGCAGAAGUGGAUUGGCAUUUCUCUAUCAUUGUGUCAGAUGUGUCUCUACGGAAGAAAUGCAGGAUUUCUUUCUAUGGGAAAUACGCUUUUCUCUUUAGUGGAAUAAAAUCCAAGAUACUUUGCUUUAAUUUAUUUGAGAGGGGCUCUUCUCUGAGGUUUGUUCAAGGUCAUUGAGAUUCACUAGAAAACAAACCCUCAGCAGUAAUUGAGGGUGGGCAUAGGCCUUGUGAAAGCAUCGCCUUUGCUAAGUGAGGUCAGCCCUCCCUUGUUCAGUACAAUAUGUCCAUUUUCCACUAAUUUUUUUCUGUAGCAGGAAAUGCACUUGGAAUAGCAAUUACUAGACUGUUGACACUUUCACAUUUAUUUUUAAGUAUCUUGGUUACUUUUAAAGAGUUUAAGGUAAGUUUUAGUGAAAGACACAUACAAAGAAAAUAAUACAUACUAUACAGCAAUGUAAACAUAAGAUUAAAGUUCAGAACCUGUGUGUCUGAUGGGAUGAAAGAUGUUGAUGAUUUUUCUAAUCAGCAGCCAAUGCUUGCUGUUGACUAUGUGACACAUCCUGUGGGUACUUUCUUACUUCAUCCCUACAGAUAGCUGUGCUUAUUUUGCAGAUGAGGAAACUUAGUAAGUCUGUAGGAUCUUUGUACUAGGAAAUGAUCAGUUGGUGGUGGAGAGUAGGGCAGGGGAUAAAGGGAGAGCAAGGGGCUGCUGCUGUGGCGUAGUGGGUAAAGCCACUGCCUGCAGUGCUGGCAUUCCAUAUGGACGCCGGUUUGAGUCCUGGCUGCUCCAUUUCUGAUCCGGCUUUCUGCUAUGGCCUGGGAAAGCAGUAGAAGAUGGCCCAAGUCUUAGGGAUCCUGCUCCUGUGUGGGAGACCCAGAAGAAGCUCCUGGCUCCUGGCUUCAGAUCUGCGUAGCUUCAGCUGUUGUGGCCAUCUGGGGAGUGAACCAACUCUCUGUCUCUCUCUCUCUCUGCCUCUCUGUAACUCUGCCUUUCAAAUAAAUAAAAUAAAUAUUUUUUGAAAAAAGGUGGAGAGCAAUAGGUACCCAAAACUGUAAGGGCGGAUGUUGUUGCUCUGAUCAUACUGACGGUUAAGAUAGAAUGUGAUAUGUUGACUGCAUUUUUUGUCACAGUCAUCUUGCGUCCAUAUUUCUACUAGUGCAGCAGUUACUUUAGAGACCUUUUUGCCCCCUUUCAUCCGCUCAUUGUUUUCCUCUAAUUUCUUAUGAACUCUAUAUGGAGCGUAAGGUGAUUAAAUGAAAAUGAUACAAAGAAAUUCUAAAGUCAAGCCUGUCCUUUUAAAAACUUGCAUGAGGGGGUGGUUUUUGGCUCAGUGGUUAAGACAUUACUUGGGAUGCGCACAUCCCUUAUCAGAACGCCAGGGUUUGAGUCCUGGCUCUGCUCCCAAUUCCAGCUUCCUGUUAGGACCGUGGGAGGCAGCAGGUGAUGGCUUAAGCAUUGGGAUCCCUGGUGCUCACUUGGACACCCAGAUUGAGUUCCUGGCUCCUGACUUCAACCUGAUCCAGUCCCAGCUGUUGUAGGCAUUUGAGUUACUAAACUAGAUGAUGGGAGAUCUCUGUCUGUUGCUGUCUCCCUGCCUUUCAAAUUUACAAAAAUCUAAAAAAAAAAAAAAAAAGUCUAAGAUUAAAAAAACCCAUGAAUAUGUUACUUCUUUUUGGCUCUUUGUAUACUGCAUCAGUUUGUGCACUCACCAGUAAUGUAUGUAAGUUGAAUAUAUUUUAUAUAUUUUGUUGGGCAUUUUUCUUUCUUUUUCUGUGAACUUCCCUGCUCAUCAUUUUUGUAUUAAUCUAUUCAUUUUUCUAUUAGCCUAUGCAUACAUAUUCUUGGCAAAUUAAGGAGAUUGACCUGCUUAUUAUAUAUUACAUAAUACAUAAUUAUGCAUACAUAUUUUCUCCCUGUGUUUUGUUUUUUUAAAGGUUUUCUUCAUUUAUUUGAGAGGUGGAGUUACAGACAGAGAGAGAGACAGAGAGAAAGGUCUUCCAUCCGCUGGUUCAUUCCCUAAAUGGUCGCAAUAGCUGGAGCUGGGCAAAUCCGAAGCCAGGAGCCAGGAAUUUCUGCUAGGUCUCUCACACAGGUUCAAGGGCCCAAGCACUUGGGCCAUCUUUUGCUGCUUUCUCAGACCAUAGUAGAGAGCUGGAUUGGAAGAGGAGCAGCUGGGACACGAACCGGCAUCCAUAUAGGGUACUGGUGCCACAGGUGAAGGCUUAGCCUCCUACACCUCAGGGCUGGCUCCUCCCUACGGCUUCUUGCUUCUGUGACUUAUAUAAAGAAUUUUACAUAUGCUGGUUGAGGUUUUUUUUUUUUGCCUAUGUUUCUUAUAAUUCUUAUUAUUUUAUGUUUAAAUCUUUUUCUAACAGCUUUAUUGAGGCAUAAUUGUAUACAAUUAAGUCUUUAGCUCAUCUGGAAUUACUUUUUUGUUUAUGAGGUAGGAACUUAGGUUUGCUUAUUUUCCAACCAGCGAACCAAGGGGAUUAAUGGCAUUUAUUAAAUUAUAAUUUUGGUGUUUUAUACUAUCCCAUUAAUCUCCACUUUAAAAAUUACAAAUAGUUUUAAUAUCCAUUAAGGCUUAUUUCCCUUCAGUGUUUUGUAUUUUAUAUUGUCAAGUUACAGAAAAGAAUCCACUAGAAUUUUAAUUGUGGUUGUAUUGAAUUUAAAGACUUUCGAGAGAAAAAACAAUACUUAAAAUGGUAUUUUUCAAAGUAAAAGCUUUUAACUUUCAGUUUACUUUUUAAAGUUUUUAUUAUUUGUUACUUAUUUAUUUGAGAGGCAAAGAGACAGGUAGAGAUAGUGUUCCUGCCCACUGUUUCACUCCCCAAAUGCUUGCAGUGGCCCAAAGCCAGGUGCCAAUAAUUGAAUCCAAAUCUCUCACAUGAAUGGCAGUGACCUAGGUACUUGAACCUUCACUGCUGCCUCCCAGGGUAGCAGGAAGCUGGAGUCAGGUGGGUAUCCAUGCACUCCAAUGGGGGACUGUAAGUUUGUUAUACUAGGCCGGGGCCAGUGCUGUGGCGCAGUGGGUUAAAGCCCUGGCCUGAAGUGCCGGCAUCCCAUACGGGUGCCAGUUCUAGUCCUGGCUGCUCCUCUUCCAAUCCAGCUGUCUGCUGUGGCCUGGGAUGGCAGUAGAGGAUGGCUCAGGUCCUUGGACCCCUGCACUCGUGUGGGAGACCUGGAGGAGGCUCCUGGCUUCAGAUCAGCAUAGCUCUGGCCGUUGCGGCCAUCUGGAGACUGAACCAACGGAUGGAAGACCUCUCUCUCUGUCUCUACCUUUCUCUGUAACUCUUUCAAAUAAAUAAAAUAAAUCUUUAACAAAAAAAAGCACUAGGCCAAACACCUACCUCUAAAUUUGUUUUUUUUUUUUUAAUGGCCCUGAGUAGUUUGUUUUCUUCAUGUGACUGUUGCAAAUUUGUCUAUCUGACCCAGCCUCUGUCACACGCCAUAUAAAACCUGGCCAUCGGCAGAUGAUUGUUAGCCAGCCCAGGUAUAAUACAGACUUGCCAGUUUGCCAUAGACAAGUAACAGGCAGUUCUCCACUGCAGCUGCCGUCAGGUGGGGCUUCACAGAGGAGAGCACAAGCAGAGAGAAGGUGGGGGCUCCUGAGUCUCAUGGGGAUAAUCUCUUUGUUAUUACUGUUGUAAAUUGAAUCUUUGUGUUUUUUUUUUUUUUUUCCUAACUGGCUAGGAAAAUCUGGCAUGUUUUUAUUUUUCUAGACACUGUAUUUGGUCGACUUGUGAUUGUAUAUCUGAAAUCUUAGAAAAUCUAAUCUUCAAGAAAUACUGUUUUUCUCUUCCUUUUAAGUAUUCAUGGUCAUUCCUUUUUCAUCGUAAAGUAUUCAGCUUUUGCUUUCUCUCUCUUGUUUUUAAUCAGAGUAGAUGUUCAAGUUUUGUGAAUGCUUUUUGGGCACAAAUGUGUUAAUUUUUUUCUUCUUUAAAACCUUUUAAUAUGGUGAAUAUUGGAAGUGGUGAACUAUUGUUGUACUUCUUCAAUAAACUGCACUUACUUGUAAUAAAGUAUUCCUUUGUAGCAUUAUUAGUUUAUACCCACUAGUAUUUUACUUAACAUUUGAAAUUAUUCCUAAAUGAGAUUUCAUUGCAGUUAAUUAAAAUGUCUGUGUAAUUGUUAGGCUAUGCUAGCUUCAUAAUUUGGUAGCUUUCCUUCCUUCUGUUCUGAAAAAUUUCAUGUUUUAUUAAAAUUGUUUCUUAACAGUUCAGAAAUACACUUGUGAAAUUGCUUUGGUCUAAUAUAAUUGUUUAGGAAGAGUCACUCUUUGGUAACAUUUUUCUUUUUUAGUUAUUGCUUUUUGUUUGUCUUCCAAGUCAAUUAUACAUGAUUUGUAUUUUCCUAGAAAGUUGUUCAUUUCUAGUUUCUAAAUUUAUUUGUGUAGUGUUUUGCAAAGUAAUGUUACAUGGUGCUUUUAUCUUUAUAUCUGUACCUAUUUUACCUUUGCGCCUCUAAUUUUCUACCUACUUACUCCUUCUCCUUCAUUAAAUUAUCCAGAAUUUAAUCUUCAUUGACAUGUAUCAAGAAUCAGCUCUUGAAUUUAUUUCUGAUUUCCUUAGCUUAUUUCCUUUUUCCUGGAAAGUCAACUGCCUAAUUCAUCUUUGUGUAAUUCAUUUUAUCUAUCUAUGUUUUGUAGUUGUUGUUGAACCAUUUUAAAAACUUCAUUUAAAAGUUUUAUUUAUUUACUUGAGAGACAAAGAGAGACAGACAGAAACCUCAUCUGCUGACUUACUUCCCAAAUGCCUGCAACAGACAGACUGGGCCAGGCUAACGCUGGGACCGGGAGCCAGGAGCUCAAUCCAGAUCUCCCACACAGGGGGCAAGAACACGAUUAUUGGAGCCAUCACCGCUGCCUGUUAGAAUUUACAGCAACAGGAGGCUGGAGCCAGGGUCCAGAGCUGGCAGUUGAACCCAGGCACUCCGAUGCAGGCUUUGGGCAUCCUGACUGCCAGGCCAAAUGCCUGCUCUGCGGACUUUGUGGUGAAACUUUUCAAACUUGUGGGAAAGUAGGGAAGCUGGGCCACAUGUCUGGCCCAGGGUUUAAGAUGCCAUGUGGGAUGCCUGCAGCCCAUAUUGGAGUGCCUGGAGUCCCCGCUGACCUUCCAGUUCCAGCUUCGUGCUAAUGCACACCCUGGGAGGCAGCAGUGAUAGUUCACGUAGUUGAAUUCCAGGAUCCUGACUUCAUUCUGGCCCAGCCCCUGCUAUUGCAGGCAUUGAGGAGUGAACCAGCAGGUGGAAGCUCUCUCUAUCUCUGUCAGUCUUAAAAAUAAAUAAAUAAUUGUUUUUAAAAAUAGAGAAAUUUAUAAUAACAACCCUCCCACUAGUGGUCCCACCCCCAUCGCCGCUGUUUACCCAUCACCAAGCUUACUGAAUAAUUUUACACUGAAAAUAAAGACAUCAAGAUACUUGACACCAACUACUUCAGUAUCUGUGUCCAAGAAACAAGGACCUCCUCUGGCCAGCUGUGCUAUUGUCACAUCACCAAAAGUAGCAGCCUAAUUCCCCAGUGUUAUGCCAAGUACAUGUUGGAAUGUAUCCACUUGUCCUCUAGAUGGUCUUUAUUUUUUUUUUGUUUUUCAAAUGGCACAGAUUUGCCAGAGAUCACUGUGUCACGUGGAGUGUCCCACAUGAUGGAGUUGUAUAGUUUUCUUUCCUUGUGUCAUUUAACUGGUCUGUUAGCCUCUAUAUUUUCUGCAAACUGGAAGUUAGAUGUAGCAGUUUAAUUAGAUUCAGAUUAAAUAGGAGGCAUGUAGUGAUUGCUUUUAUUACUAUUAGUGAUCCUGGGUUUGUUAGUGAUAAUUAUAUCUCUGUUUUAAAGCUAGAAGUUUUUGUUUAAUUAAGAAAGAAAUUUUGGUUAGUGAGAAAUCUGUGUAAAAUGUCUCGACACCGAACAGAUACCAGGUUUCCUUUUAACCCCUCCUCUGAUGAUUUUUAGCUUCCUUUGAUAAUCUGUGUCUGAACCAAAAUUUUCUUUAGAGGUUACAAAAUAGUGAUUUUUCAGAUUCAUUUAUUCUACAUUUUUUGGCAUACUUUUCUGUCUCAGCGUUUUCCAUCUCAGCAGCAGCAGUGCUUUGGUUGCCUUAAAAUGUAGCUCCUGCUGAAAAGGAAGAAUAAAUGCUUAAUUUUUUUUCUCUUUGCCAACUUUCUCUUCCAUUAUCUUGUGUUCAGAUGAAACCAUUUGACAGAGCUUUUGUCAGUUAUUGCAAGUUGUUCUGGUUAGAAGGUCAGUGUUGAGAGGCUGGCACUGUGGCGUACUGGGUAAACCCACUGCCUGCAGCUCCAGCAUGCCAUAUAUGGGCGUCGGUUCGAGAUCGCUGCUCCACUUUCAGUCCAGCUCUCUGUGUGCCCUGAGAGGGCAGUGUACAUACUUGGGCCCCUGCUCCUGUGUGGCAGACCUGGAGGAGCCUCCGGGCUUCGGAUUGGCCCAUCUCUGGCCGUUGUGGUCAUCUGGGGAGUGAACCAGCAGAUGGAAGACUCUCUCUCUCUCUCUCUCUCUCUCUCUCUCUGCCUCUGCCUCUGCCUCUGCCUCUGCCUCUCUGUAACUGCCUUCUAAAUAAAUAAAUAAAUCUUUUAAAAAAAGUCAGUGUUAAUCCACGGUGACAGCCAGUUUGAAGAAUCUGGAGAUUAUUUUUCUUCAGCUAAUUGAGAGACCAGUUUAUCUUUUAUUUUAAUUCUGAAAAUAUGAAACCAAAGGAACCUUUUUAAGAAAGUAUUUUGGCUCUCGUGCAUCUUUCUUCCCUAACGAAAUUUGGAAUUUUUAUUUUGUUUAUAGAAAGUAAACUUUGCCAGCUCUGUAUUGCAUUUUCACCUUUGCAUGGCAGUUUGUGCUGGCGGUGACAGUUUUAACCUGGAGCAGAAGAAGGAAACGUUCACUUGCGCUUGUUUGCAGCACUGCCUCUCAUGCAUCUCAGUUGGGAAUUAUCGUAUGCUCCGUCCCGCAGAAGUGUUCUGUGCCAGUCUCGUUUCCACCUCUGCCUCUCCAACACUUCCUCCCUUCCCCUUUUUGGUCACUGGUUCCUUCUCUCUAACUCACCUGUAAAAUAAGCUGUAUGAAGUUAUGCGUUCUCCACACAAUCCCUGCAGCUCAGACUUCCCAAGGUCACAGCAGUGGCCUCAGAGGCUUCCAGACACCUUCUUCCGUCCUUGACCUUCCCGGGAGCUGCAAGUUCCAGACCUGUUUGGCCCAUCUCUUCAGUGAGCUUCUUAACCUGCUUGCCCCUCGGGCAGUGCAAACUGGAUGUCUUAAACUGAGUCCAUUCUCUUCCUACCCAGCCCCCAAACCAUUUCCUAUUUCUCCUCGGUAUUUCCUGUUACAGUAAGACGUUCCGCUCCCUUCCCCCUGCCAUACAGUUCAGUUGAUAACAGCUACAAUAUUUGUAAAGUUAGUGAAUUUUAACAUUCUAAAGGAGCUUCAGUUAAUAUUUGUUUUACAGAAUUCUACAAAUUUCAUUGUAUUUUUAAAGAAACAGAGACAAUGGAGCUAGAACAGAAGUUUAAAAUCAGAAGUUCAUGGGUAGUAAAACCACUGCUUGGCAUGCCCACGUUUCAUGGCUGAAUGCCUGGGUUUGGGUCCCAGUGCUGUUCCUAAUUGUAGUUUCCUGCUAAUGAGCACCCUGGGGGAGGCAGCAUUGAUGGCUCAAGUGGUUGGUUCCCUGCCACCCAUGUUGGAGACUCCAGUUGAUUUAGGGACUCCUGGCUUUGGCCUGCACAGCCCCAGCUGUUGGGGUGUUUGGGGGGUAAACUGGCAGAUGGGAAUGCUCGCCCUCUUUUUCUCUGCCUCUCAAAGAAAUAAAUUUUGAAACCAAAGGUUCAAAUCAAUGACUCGUUUAAAUAUUUUAAAUUGAUACGAAAAGGCCAACUUGUCCAGUUUCUAAAAAUAGAUAUGUAAAGUACUUAAAAUACUAACUACAAAGGAUUGCUUGGUAUUAAAAUUGGUGUUCAUGGAACACACCCAGGUGUGUGCCCAUAAGCAUGAUACCAGUGAUUUUUAUUUUUUAAUUAUUGUGAAGCUUCAAACAAGCUUUAUAACUUCUAUGACUAUGAAUUCCUUUCCUUUAAUUACUUCUGUAACACUCCACACUGAUGUUUGGAAACUCUCCCUUAUUUAAAAAAAAAUAGAGUUUGUUACUCUGUUGUAUGUUACAAAAGAACUGUAGACUUCGGAAUGCAGUUUAAAGAUGACAUAUGCCAUGCCAACAAAUGCCUUGUAUCCUAUGGCACUGCCGUAAUUCAGAUUUGUCUUUAUUUUGGAAAUAAAAGUUCACUGUAAUUUUUUUCAUUCACAUUGUUACAUAUUUUUUUCUGAAAAAGAAAAGAAAAUGUGAAACACAAUUUAGCCCUCAUUAUUUAUUUGUAGAUCCUGCAGCAUCAUGUUGCAAUUAAUUUUUUGGAAGUUUCUGUUAAAUGUAAUAUUGCUUCUCUUGUUACCAUACCAAUUCUUUCUAUUUAUAAAUGUAUUUUGAUGGGCAGUAAAAAAAAGUGUCCUAACAGUUUAAAUAGAGAAAAUGUGCGUUAGACAAUUGCCUAUAAAAAGUGCUCUGUGUUAUCCAAACAAUUCAUACUAUGAACUUCACUCUUACUGUUGUAUGCAGUUCUCACUAUUAUGCAAAUAAGCUUAGAUAAAUAAAACCAAUAGAUUACCAUAAAAAAUACUAAAUACAAACAGAUUUUUUAGCAGGAAAAAAAAUACAGAAUAAGUGGUGUUUGAUUUUUUUUAACUGUUCCAGACUUGGUUUUCCAGAUCUUCAGGACUUGUCUAGAACUCUAGAAAUGUUGUUCUUUUUCCAGAUAAAUUUUGGGGGUACUUUGAGUCCGUUGAAAUGUGAGCUAGGACUCCAGUUGAAUUCCUACCAGUGUCCAUAGCUGUCAGGCUGCCCCUCUUUCUGUAUCUCUAGGUUGGUGCCCAUUGGAUGGUUUCAUCAAUAGUCUGAACACUCUGGAUUAUAGCUGGGUGUCACUAACUGCUUUCUCAGGGAAGCCUGCGUUCCCUCCUGGGAGGUUGGAGUUUGCAUUUCUUUGGCCUUUCUCCUUUGCUUCAUUGUUUUAGAGACCUUGAACCUGGUAGAAUUCUGUUUUCUUCUCAGGUUUACUUCUAAUAUGGUAGGGCCGUAGUUCUUACAUUAAAUGACAUUUAGCUUAAUUCUGAAUAGUUUUCAUGGGUGUUCUCCCAUCAGUAUAAUUCUUACAGCUUAUGGAUGAGGUUAAGUAUGGACUCAAGGUCACACAGCUUGUAAGUGAUAGCCCUUUCGUUUGACCGCAGACCUGAUUCCAAAGACAGUGCUGUCCAUUAUGCCAUGCUAGCUACUGCUACUUACAGGUCCCAGUGUAAUGGGAGGGGGAUAGGGCUGCACUUUUACAUGAGUGUACCUUUGACUCUGCUUCUUCAAGAAUGCCCCUAGCAAUUCUAUGUGUGCCAUCCAUUCUGCAUAGUUUUCUUUCUUUUUUGCUUUUAAGGCUUAUGUAUUUAUUUCAAAGUGUUAAAGAGAGAGGAGAGACAGAGAGACAGAUCUUCCAUCCACUGGUUUACUCCCCAGAUGGCCACAACAACCGGGGCUGGGCCAGGCUGAGGCCAGGAUCCAGGAGCUUCAUCCAAGUCUCCCACAUGGGUGGCAGGGGCCCAAGUACUUGGGCCAUGCUCCGCUGCAUUCCCCAGGCCUUUAGCGGGGAAUUGGGUGCUGGCAAUGCACGUGGCGGCUUUACCUGCCACAUCACAGCCCUGGCCCCAUUCUACCUAAUUUUCACAACUUGACUUAAGCAUCACCACCUUCCUGGUGCCUUCUCAGCUAGUGUCAGACCCCAGAACCAUAGAAUCUGAUCACCUGUAUUUGGGUAUUUUGUGCCUGUGCAUGUUUUCACCCUCACACUUCCAGUGUUUGACCACUCCGGUUGGUCUGUAUGCCUCAAUUAGACAAGUAAGUUCCUUGAGGAAAGUGACAUUGCCUGUGUAUCACCAGCACAAAUAUAGUGCCUGGCAUAGAGUAGGCAUUUAGUCAACAUUCUUUUAGUAAAUAAGUAAGUUCUAAUAUGUUUUUUAGAUUAAAAAUUCCUCCUAACUAUAAAAAGCUAGCACAAUGCAGGUUUCUGGGGUGGUGGGUCAUUCUGUAUUGUGAUUACCCCCACACACAUAAAGAAGUCCAUUUUAUCAUGUAUUGUUUUUUAAAGAAAAUGGCACUACUUUUUAAGGAUUUAAGUGGGUUUUUCUCUUUUUUUCUUUUUGAGAGACAGGAAGAAAGAGAUCUUCCAUCUGCUGGUUCACUCCUUAAAUGCCCACAGUGGGUAAGGCUAGGCCAGGCUGAAGCUGGGAACCGGGAACUCAGCCUGGGUCUCCGUGGGAGGCAGCAGCUCCCUGCUUGAGCAGUUACUGACUGCCUCCCAGGGUGAGUGUUAGCAGGAAGCUGGGACUGGGAGUGGACAGGGCACUUGACCCAGGCUCUUUGAUAUGGGCACAGGAGUUCUGACCACUGUAUUUUUGUUUGUUGUUUGUCUUAAGAUCUAUUUAUUUAUUUAUUUGAAAGUUGGAGUUACAGAGACAGAGAGGGAGAGAAAGACUCGAUCUUCUAUCCUCUGGUUUCACUCCUGUGAGGGCCCUGGAUAGAGUUCCCUGUUCCUGGUGUAGACUUGGCCCAGUCCCAGCUGUUGUGGGGCACUUGGGGAGUAAACCAGCAGAUCUUGCCACCUCUUUCUUUCUGCCUUUAAAAAUAAAUAAUUAAGAAAAGAACUUGCUAUUUGAUCCAGUAGCAGAUGAUAGAACAAUAGAAUAAUAGAAUGAUUUGCCUUACCGAGGUCUCCCACUACUUCUUACUGAAAACAGCCAGGGCAGUCAGAGUACAUGCAUUCUGUUGUGGAAAUUUAAAAGUAGGAUGCUGCUCACAAGGGAACACUUUACUGUAAUUAUAUAUCUUGUUGGAUGCAAAAAAGCUGCUCAUGCCCCCAAGGCAAUUCUUCUGCAAGUCAUGUAGUUGAGUGCGAUGGCCACUGGGUGGUGACAGAGACCAGAGUAGGAUUCAAGAUUGACAAGCCUGAAGGGACUUAAGAGGGACUCUUUCCCUAUUUAGGGACAGUUGACUUUUGUAGUGGUGGUGCUGGUGGUGUUUUAAAGAAAAACAUGUUAAAAAAAAUCAAAAAUUUUUCUCUUUAUUCUAAAAUGUGUCCAGUUACAUGUUUUUGAAGCAGAUUAUUGUCAUUAUUAGCACUGCUGUAAAAUUCUCACCACUGCAGAUAAUCACACAUCAGUGAAAAACAUCCCCGAUGAGUUAUUUUGAUGAAAAACAUUGUAUGUUAUAUCUGAUAGGAAAUGUGGUGUUUCCUACCUCUUUAUUUUUAUUAUUUUUUAAAUAUUUAUUUUAUUUAUUUGAAAGAGUUACAGGGAGAAGUAGAGCCACAGAGAGAGGUCUUCCAUCUGCUGGUUCACUCCCUAAAUGGCCGUAAUGGCUGGAGCUGAGCCAAUGCAAAGCUGGGAGCUAGAAGCUUCUUUGGGUCUCCCACAUGGGUACAGGGGCCCAAGGACUUGGGCCAUCUUCCACUGCUUUUCCAGGCCAUAGCAGAGAGCUGAAUUGAAAGUGGAGCAGCCGACACUUGAACCAGUGCCUAUAUGGGAUGCUGGCACUGCAGGUCAGGGCCUGAAUGCACUGUAUCACAGCACCAGCCCAACUUCCUACCUUUUAAGGGGGAAAUCAGUAAACUUUCAUUUUACUGAAGAGGAAAAAAGCAUUGCUGUGUCUUGAAAAGAAGCCUUGUACAAAAGCAUAGAUAGUAAAUAGUAAUACUUACUGCCUACAUUUAGCUGAAUGUUUUGACGUCAGGCUUGAAUCUGUUAGUUACAAUAAGUUGCUUAAAUGUGAAAGUAAAUCUGUAAACCAAAGGCCAUGUAUACAGUGUGUGUGGUAGGGUGGGUGGGGUAGUUCAAGGUUGAAAUAGUUCUAAAAAAGAUUGUACUAAAAUGCUUCAUGUUUUGCUUGGAUCUAUUUUUGUGAGAGAGAAAACAAGUAGAGAGUAUUUAGCGUCUUAUGAAAAUAUUAGUGAUGGUGGCAUUUGCCCUUCCAUGCAAGUUGAGUAGCUAAUCAAAAAUCGCCUUCCCAAGGCAGUCAGAUAUGUUAACGACCUUAGAGAUGAGCUGGCCCAGGGACAGAGGCCUUGUGUUUGAGAGGCUUUUACCCUGGUCUGGUUUGAGCUCACCAGCAUGUCCCUGCUCGUCCUAGGUUGUCUGUGGCACCUCUGUCUUGGGCUUCACUGUUCCUGUCACCUCUGCUUCCCUCUUUCUGGUCCACUCCGUUAUUUGCCUCCCGGGACCUGUCCCCCUCCUCCCUGUCCCCCAUCCUUCUCUCCCCACUUCUUCCCCGGAUGUCUGCUUGCUCCUCUCACUCCUGCUCUCACCCUGCUCAUACUCCUGCUCCUGGAAGGCACAGCUUUCCUCUGCAGGUGGUGCUGGCUUGGGCGCCCCAUAGAGCCUCCUCCCAGAGAGGUGAACAGCAUUACUGCCAAUUUCACACUAUCCAGAGGUUUGGGGUGAGUUAGGGAAGUGACUUGUGUGGGGCCUAAUCCUGCAGUGUCAUCUGGCAACAGGUAUUUAUGGUAGAAGUUGAUCCUAGCUUCAUGGGCCGUCUGUUGGUUAGGCGUGUUAGCACUCAGCACGCAUCCUGGUCACAGAUCACCACGAAGCAGGCGAGUGAGCUGAUACUGAAAUUAAGCAAAGCGCAACCCUGCAGCCUGGCCCUGGCACCGGUACGGGUGCCUCUCCACCGAGCAGUGCCUCCUAGCCUAGCUUCCUUCACUGCCCUUGAAACUGGGGCUUUUAAACUAUGUAUAUUAGUUAACUCUGUAUUUCUCUCUUCCUUAUUGAAAAUCUUUAUGGAGGCAAAGAAGCCGUAUCCUUUAAAUGGUUUUAUACCUUUGAAGUAGUUACCAUGUGCUUCUGGUUCCCAAUGAACAGUUGUCAUUCAGGAACUAAUUAGCUAGAGUGUUAAUUUGUCUGUACUGGAUUCCCUGCCACCACCACUCCCAAGCCCUGUGACACAUGGACCAUGGGUAUUGAUAACCAGUGUGUUUAUGACCUGCCUAUAAGGACAGUGUGCCAUUCUCUAAUUCACAUGAAUUAUGCAUGAAUGAGUGUGUAUUUUGUCAGCACCUUCCCUGUCAUUCUAUUACUAUUUCAGAUAUUGUGGGAAGAAGUACGGUAGAAGUAGAACUCACGGUGGUCCACAGAGGGAAGGGAAAUGUACUGUGGGCUACCAUGAAGAAACUUUCAGAUGCUGCUUUUGAAUUUUUGGGAGUAGCCUGAGAUGUUUUUCCUCUUAGGGUGCAAUUUGACCUCUUACCCACUCAAAUAAUGGGGCAUGUUGAAUUUGUUGUUAAUUCUAACAUGACUUAAAUAUAGGCCAGUGUUAAGGUAAAUGUUUUCUUGCCCUUUAUAUUGCAAAAUUAAAUCUCCUCUGUACAUGAAGACGCAUUCCCUUGCCUGAUCUCCUCUGUCACUCCGUUCCUUCUCAGGUUUUUCCUCCUCCUGAGAAAUACAUGACUUACAUCUGUAACACACAGGUUACCGCGUGUCCCGAUGAAUCUUCGAUGCAUUUAAAGGGCAUUGGAUUGAGCAUCUGAGGAUAUUGCACCGUAGUGUAGUCUGCGAGGCAGUCUUUGCUCCAGAGGUGCUCAGCUGUCUCUUUCAGUUUUCUUUCUUCUCCGGCCACCUUCUUCCCCCUCCGCUCUAGAGUUGUGGUUGUUACUGUAAUCUCACCCACCACAUUUUCCCUUUAUCAAACCCUCUGGUGGCUCCCUUCUUCACUCUCUCCCCUACCCCGACAGUGUAACUAAUGCCAGGAAAGUGACUCCUUCUUUUGGGAAGAGAAUAACUAGUGAACUGAGGGGCCACUGGGAUCCAUUUUGAAGGCAGACAUUAUUCUUGAUAUGUGUUACUUCCAUGUUUUCAGCAAAAAAAAAAAAAAAAAAGAA